CCUACGGGGGGCAGCAGUCGAGAAUCAUUCACAAUGGGGGAAACCCUGAUGGUGCGACGCCGCGUGGGGGAAUGAAGGUCUUCGGAUUGUAAACCCCUGUCAUGUGGGAGCAAAUUAAAAAGAUAGUACCACAAGAGGAAGAGACGGCUAACUCUGUGCCAGCAGCCGCGGUAAUACAGAGGUCUCAAGCGUUGUUCGGAAUCACUGGGCGUAAAGCGUGCGUAGGCUGUUUCGUAAGUCGUGUGUGAAAGGUGCGGGCUCAACCCGCGGACGGCACAUGAUACUGCGAGACUAGAGUAAUGGAGGGGGAACCGGAAUUCUCGGUGUAGCAGUGAAAUGCGUAGAUAUCGAGAGGAACACUCGUGGCGAAGGCGGGUUCCUGGACAUUAACUGACGCUGAGGCACGAAGGCCAGGGGAGCGAAAGGGAUUAGAUACCCCUGUAGUC
rnacentral:rRNA from 1 species